GCUGCACUAAUUUACCCGUGUAGAACGUUGCGUCACAUUAGUUCCGCUUUUGGCGCUCGCGUGUAAAAUCAUAUUACUUUUUUUUUCCAGCACGGGGGCCCGACAUGUCUACAGAGACAUCCCUCCCUAGGCCUCCGUGUAGAAUCGCCACUGAAUGAAAUGUAAGUUGGUGCUACUGAAGUGGAGAUUUCUGGCUCGGUUAAUGGGAAAUAACCUGUAAAGUUAUGCAUCGUCGCCCGUGUGUUAUCUGUGAGCGCGGGUCUGUCUCACACCCGACUCAUGUUGACAUUCCAGAGGACUGGACCUUGUGCAAACAGCCUUUGACAGAUGGAGGCUACGAGAACCAGUAGAUUGAGAUGGCAGUCUGUGCUCUUGGGCCUCCUCACGUAUUUCAACGGCUCUGAGCUGAAGAACUUUACGUGGCAGAUGCUCAUCACAGUCUUUCAUUUAGUGGAUCAUACAGGAUGAUGGAGAGUAGUAAUGAGAGUUCGGUGCUCCAUCGUUCAUUUCUCUCGGGAACACAGAAUCCUGGAAUGCCAAGCAAUGGAAUGAUGGCAAGAAUGUAAUAGAAUUCCAACACAAAUGGAAAAGAAUCAUCAAAAUAAACAAAAAAAGCAAGAGGUGGGUCAUUAAAAGCAGUCACUUUUCUUCAGUCCUCAUCCUCUUUUUAAGAGCUUGGUCACAUGUUUCUGUGUGCGCAAGUGUGCGUUUCCACAAAAAAAGGCACCAGCGCUUCACACACUUCAGUUUCUUUCCGGAAAAGCAGCACUGCUGACGUCUCAGCCUCCUUUGGCACGCUCCGAAAGUCCAGCGGGAGCUUUGCAAGGAGUCUAGAGGCAGCAUACGGUUCUGGAUGGGGACAAGGGAAUUGUGGGUAAUAGUCUCUCAGUCUUGUUGAGAACUGCAAACGUAGCUUGGAUGUGGUGGGUCUGGAGAAGGCUGAAGAGGCUCAUGUUUUUAUGCCUCCGUUGAUGUGCUGGUACUUGGGAAGGCAGGGCUCGUCUGCUAAGGGCUCGUGGGAGAAGACCGAAUCGUCUCCGGAGGAGCAGGAGCUGCGUGUGUCGGGGAAGCUGGGAGAAUACUGCUCCACUGGGGCGCACAGGUCCAGAUACUCCUACAUACACAGAGAUGAAGCUGUCAGUAUAAACAUGACCAGAACUACAGCUGCCACAUUUACUAGGGAAAACUACCUAUUUCUAUUAGUGAAUUGAAAGAGAACCUAUCACAUGGAAAUAAAACCUAUUCCCAGAAAUAUUCUUUGCAUUUUAACAUGGUUGUGUGUCACUUUUAUUAAUUUUCUUUUAAUAUGUAAAUAUAGUUUUUUUUUUUUAGUUUAUUUAAUUGUUUUAGUAAAAAAUAAAUAACUGCUGAAAUAAAAAAAAUCCAACGCUUGAAAAAUAAAAGUUUUUGUUUACAUUA